AUUGAACACUGGCGGCGUGCUUAACACAUGCAAGUCGAUCGGUAACGCGGGGGCAACCCUGGCGACGAGAGGCGGACGGGUGAGGAACGCUUGGGAAUCUGCCUAUCAGCGGGGGACAACACGGGGAAACUCGUGCUAAUACCGCAUACGCUCUACGGAGGAAAGCCGGGGACAGCAAGGCCUGGCGCUGAUAGAUGAGCCCAAGCCGGAUUAGCUAGUUGGCGGGGUAACGGCCCACCAAGGCGACGAUCCGUAGCUGGUCCGAGAGGACGAUCAGCCACACUGGGACUGAGACAAGGCCCAGACUCCUACGGGAGGCAGCAGUGGGGAAUAUUGGACAAUGGGGGAAACCCUGAUCCAGCGACGCCGCGUGGGUGAAGAAGGCCUGCGGGUUGUAAAGCCCUUUCGGUAGGGACGAAAGCUCUCGACCUAACACGUCGGGAGGUUGACUUAACCUACAAAAGAAGCACCGGCUAACUCUGUGCCAGCCGCCGCAGUAAAAC
rnacentral:rRNA from 1 species